rnacentral:rRNA from 1 species
GACGAACGCUGGCGGCGUGCUUAACACAUGCAAGUCGAGCGGUAAGGCCCUUUCGGGGGUACACGAGCGGCGAACGGGUGAGUAACACGUGGGUGACCUGCCUUUAGCUCUGGGAUAAGCCUGGGAAACUGGGUCUAAUACCGGAUACGACUCCGCGGUGCAUGCUGUGGGGUGGAAAGCCUUGUGCGGCUGGAGGUGGGCCCGCGGCCUAUCAGCUUGUUGGUGGGGUGAUGGCCUACCAAGGCGACGACGGGUAGCCGGCCUGAGAGGGCGACCGGCCACACUGGGACUGAGACACGGCCCAGACUCCUACGGGAGGCAGCAGUGGGGAAUCUUGCGCAAUGGGCGAAAGCCUGACGCAGCGACGCCGCGUGAGGGAUGACGGCCUU